GUGGCAGCCGAGGAAACUGGGCUGACUAUUGAUCAAGUAAAGAUGAGUGCAAGAAAUUGUCUUUGCCUCAAAAGAACAAAGAAGCUGCCAAGAAAUGGCAUGACAUGACAUCUGCAGAAAAAGAUGAGUUCAAAGGAAAAGCAGAAAGUUUAAAGGCCCCAGAUGUUUCAGAGCUUAGUGAGGCUCAAAAAUCUAAGUUGAUAUCAGUUCACAGGAAAAAUCUUCUAAAUGAGAUCAUGUUUCUAGAAGACUUAGGCUGUGAAUCUUCUCUGAUUUUUCAAGACACUUCAG